rnacentral:rRNA from 1 species
GACGAACGCUGGCGGCGUGCUUAACACAUGCAAGUCGAACGGUGAAGCGCCUUCCUUUUUGGUGGGUGUGGAUGAGUGGCGAACGGGUGAGUAACACGUGAGUAACCUGCCCCCUUCUUCUGGAUAACCGCAUGAAAGUGUGGCUAAUACGGGAUAUUCUGGGUCUGUCGCAUGAUGGGUCUGGGAAAGAUAUUGUUUCGGUGGGGGAUGGGCUCGCGGCCUAUCAGCUUGUUGGUGGGGUGAUGGCCUACCAAGGCGGUGACGGGUAGCCGGCCUGAGAGGGUGGACGGUCACACUGGGACUGAGACACGGCCCAGACUCCUACGGGAGGCAGCAGUGGGGAAUAUUGCACAAUGGGCGCAAGCCUGAAGCAGCGACGCCGCGUGAGGGAUGGAGGCCUUCGGGUUGUGAACCUCUUUCGCCAGUGAAGCAGGCCUGCCUCGUUUGUGGGUGGGUUGACGGUAGCUGGAUAAGAAGCGCCGGCUAACUACGUG